rnacentral:rRNA from 1 species
CCUACGGGUGGCAGCAGUGAGGAAUAUUGGUCAAUGGUCGAGAUCCUGAACCAGCCAAGCCGCGUGAAGGACGAAGGCCCUAUGGGUUGUAAACCUCUUUUGUCAGGGGACAAAACCCGGGACGAGUGCCUGACUGCGUGUAUCCGCAGAAAAAGCAUCGGCUAACUCCGUGCCAGCAGCCGCGGUAAUACGGGGGAUGCGAGCGUUAUCCGGAUUUAUUGGGUUUAAAGGGUGCGUAGGCGGGCAGUUAAGUCAGCGGUAAAAGUCCGGGGCUCAACCCCGGCGAGCCGUUGAAACUGGCAGUCUGGAGAUGGCGAGAAGUAAGCGGAAUGCGCGGUGUAGCGGUGAAAUGCAUAGAUAUUGCGCAGAACUCCGAUUGCGAAGGCAGCGUACCGGAGUCAGACUGACGCUGAGGCACGAAAGCGUGGGUAUCGAACAGGAUUAGAUACCCUUGUAGUC